rnacentral:misc_RNA from 1 species
AACGCACAUUGCGCCCGCCAGCAUUCUGGCGGGCAUGCCUGUUCGAGCGUCAUUUCAACCCUCGAGCCCGACUUUUCGAAGGACGGCUCGGCGUUGAGGGACGGCAGACUCCCCCCGGCAUCUCGCCGGGGACGCCGCCCUCGAAAUCUAGUGGCGGCCCUCCGAGGCGACCUCUGCGUAGUAACUUAACCUCGCACCGGAAAGCUCAGAGCGGCCACGCCGUAAAACCCCAACUUUUUUCAGGUUGACCUCGAAUCAGGUAGGACUACCCGCUGAACUUAA